rnacentral:lncRNA from 1 species
GAGAUCCCGCCACUGCACUCCAGCCUGGGCGACAGAGCGAGACUCCGUCUCAAAAAAAAAAAAAAAAAAAAAUUAAUUUUUAUUGCAGCAUUGCAUAAAUACUGUCAACUUAAUUUGCAGGAGCUAUCCUGUAGCCUGCUUGUGACAUUUGCAACUGCUGAUGAAGGUGGACGAUUGAAUUCUAUGGCAUGAUCCAAGGAUUCUGUAGCUACAAUGUUGUCAAGACUUUUUCGAAUGCAUGGCCUCUUUGUGGCCUCCCAUCCCUGGG